rnacentral:misc_RNA from 1 species
UGAGAUUGAAGAUAAUGCUGUGGAUGAUGAUGAAGCUGAGAAUGAUGGGGAUUGGAACUCUUGCGAAGAUCAAGACUCUGAUGGGGAAGACGAUGUAGAAUAUGAACGGGAAAAACUAAGUAAUCUAUUAACCAGACCAUCUGCAGCUCAUCCUUUGGCUGCGAAUUCUAGAAAGGGUCGGUUUUUUGGACUACAAAAGAUUGGUGUAAAGAAGAUACCAGAACAUGUGAGGUCUCAUAAGCUUACUGAACUUGAGAAAGCAAAAGGAACCCUCUUGCUGGCAACUUUACCCAAGUCUCUACCUUGUAGAACCAAAGAAAUGGAAGAGAUAACUACAUUCGUAAAAGGUGCCAUAUGCGAUGAUCAAUGCCUGGGUAGAUGCCUUUACAUACAUGGUGUUCCUGGGACAGGAAAG